rnacentral:rRNA from 1 species
CAGGUCAGCAUACUGCCGUGAAUACGUUCCCGGGCCUUGUACACACCGCCCGUCACACCAUGAGAGUUGGGGAUACCCGAAGCCUGUGAGCUAACUUUAUAAGGAGCAGCAGUCGAAGGUAGAAUCAAUGAUUGGGGUGAAGUCGUAACAAGGUAAC